UGGAGAGGCAGCCCCCACUUGGAGGGACCAGGACCCGAGCCCUGCCCAUCCCCGAAUCCUGGGAGCCCUGCGUGGGGAGUGUCGAGGGCCUGGGUCGGGGGGCAAACUAGUGUGGAGGGAAGGACAGACCUGUGCCCUUGAGGCAGGGCCCUGAAGGAGGGCAACUUUAAUGGAGGACCUAGCAAGUGCCAGGCAGCAUUCUGAGCCCUGGAAUCCGGUGAUGAACAUGACAGACAAGAUUCCUGCCCCCAAGGAGCUGCACCUUAAUAAGUCCCGCAAUGAAGGAGACAGAACAUAAACAGAGGAAAAUACACAAGAUGCCAGCUUGUGAGAAGUGCUAGCAAAAAAAGACACAAGUAUGUCC
rnacentral:lncRNA from 10 species